rnacentral:piRNA from 1 species
CAGUGUUCCAGGAGUUGGCAACCAGCCA